rnacentral:rRNA from 1 species
AAAGCGUUAAGCAUCCCACCUGGGGAGUACGCCGGCAACGGUGAAACUCAAAGGAAUUGACGGGGGCCCGCACAAGCGGAGGAACAUGUGGUUUAAUUCGAUGAUACGCGAGAAACCUUACCCGGGCUUGAACUGCAGAGGAAUGCGGUGGAGACACCAAAGCCCUUCGUGGUCUCUGCAGAGGUGCUGCAUGGUUGUCGUCAGCUCGUGCCGUGAGGUGUCGGCUUAAGUGCCAUAACGAGCGCAACCCCUCUCGCCAGUUGCCAUCAGGUUAUGCUGGGCACUCUGGCGACACUGCCACCGCAAGGUGUGAGGAAGGUGGGGAUGACGUCAAAUCAGCACGGCCCUUACGUCCGGGGCUACACACGUGUUACAAUGGGCGGUACAGAGAGUAGGGUGUACGCAAGUGCGCUCCAAUCAUGAAAGCCAUCCUCAGUUAGGAGGGGGGUCUGCAACCCGACCCCAGAAGCU